rnacentral:lncRNA from 1 species
GUGAAAUAGUCUUAUCUUAUUCACAUUCUAAAAUGGUAUUUGUAUGUUUCAUAGAGGCAUAAAUUUGACUAUAAGUAAUAGUAAUGUAGAAACAGAACAAAAAUGGGCUAAUUAAGAAACUGGAUAGAAAUGCAGAAUAUAUACUUAACGAUAUACAGUACAUAAAAGAAUGUUUGGCAUGAUCGUUUAACCUGUUUCUUACAUUUAUAACUUCAGCAGCUAAAAAGCUAAUAUAUUAAAAAAGCAUGACAUGAGACAUCACACCAAGUUCAUCAUCCACCAAUAUAUAGCUAGCACCAGAUUGUUGUUGCUUGCCAAUUCUCUUCAUCAUCAACCUUACAUUAGAGACACUACUUAGUCUUCUGCCAUUUUUUACGGUUGUUAUCAUCCUUAACACCAAACCAACUUCUUGCUCUCCUUCUGUAUCCUGCAUAGCCACACAGUUAAUUCUAUCAUCACUGAAAUCUAGAAAAGUUCUAUCAAAGAUGAGAUAACAGAAAACUUUAAUGAGGCAGUUUACUAUAUUGCUAUAUUGCCCAAUAUAAAUUUUAAAUGCCUCCAAGCAGGCAUCACCGUAGCGCUUAAUGUGCUAAUGGAUCGAGGGACUUGCACUACUUGUCCUUCUAGGUAAGCUAGGUAUCAACCAUAUAUUGUUCAUUGCUUGGACAAUCUAGCAAUGCACCAAAUUCACCAUUAUUGAUGAAAUUUUUAUACCACUAUUAUUUGCUUAGGUUAAUUAGUGUGACUAAUCAAUUCCCUAUCUGGUUUUUGAAACCUUCCCAUCUUCCAAACUUGUUUUACAUGAAUACAUCUGUUAGUUUAGAGUUGUAGUACAAAUAUAUAGUUACCUCUAGCUUUCACAUCUUAUUAUAGUAAUACUUUUCACAAGAAAGACAACCAUUAUCUUAGUGAUAUAUAAGGAGGCCUUGAACUGAUACUCAUUGAGAAGUGACUCUACUUAUCCUCAAAAUAAAAAAUUACUAGUCACACACAAAUCUUCAUAGAUAAGAACACAAAGGCAUCAACCCAGUACAGAAAGUUUAUGGCAAAAAAUUUAAAAGAAAGUGAAUUGAAAUCCAAACGAAGAAAAAUAAACUUACAUGAUAUUACCUGCAAAUUCUAAUAGUCAAAUUUUAAACGUACUGAGCCCGGCAAUUUGAAGUAUCUGUUACAAAUGUAAAGUAACUUUAGAGACAGAACAGGAUAACAGAAAACAAUAGGACACUCAUCAAAUUUUCUUCAUACAGUCACUUCCUAGAAAUCUUGCAUAUUACAACAACAAAAAAAGGAACAUUCAGCUUCGAACCCGAUGGCGCAGACUUACCUAGCAUUCAUUUAGCAGUAUCAACAUUUAAAGGGCUCAGUAGUUUCAGAACUUCACCACAAUUUUUCAAUACACACAGAUCACUACAUUUCCUCUUAAACAACUUUAUAUUUACUGACCUUACCAUAAAUGUUAUGGUUAGAACUUAAAUUUACAUUUAGAUAAAAUAGAAUUGGAACAAAUGAAAUUAAGAAAUAUAUUCACAACUUAGUUCUCAACAUCUAUAAGUGAGACAUUAGUUUGGUAACAUAAAUGUUUAUAUCACUUUUUCCUCUUGUAAUGCUGAAAUAGACAAACUUUCUUCUCCUUUUAUUUACACAGCAAGGCUUAAGCAGCUUGUUUCUCAGGUCAAUUAAAGCCCUCAACUGAAAGUAAUACAUAUAAAAGAGGAGUAGCAUUUCAACAAUCGAAAUGAGAGGUCAAUUAAAAUUUUCUUGAAGACAAUUUGCAAAUCACUUCUUGUGUGGGAAAUUUUUGCACCAUUUUUUGAAAACAUUAUAUAUCUUUAAAAUUCAAAAGUCAAGAAUAAACUUGUUUACAUUAUGCGGGAUAACUAUCUGACUGAACAAUUUUUAACUAUAUUACAUCAAUGACUUCUAUGUAUUUGUUUGCCUGCACUUUGCAAAGAGGAGCAGGGCACUACAAUAAUAAGUUGCAUAAACAAUCACCUCGUGUUGAGUUUCUAUAGCCUGGAAUUGUUUCCGCUCCUUCCCCCUCAAACAUAUCGAUCUAUUAGUUAAAAUUCCAUUUUGACCAGCCAAAUAAAUUUAAAGCAGUAUAACUCUUAAUCAACACAUAUUUAUACAUACUGCAAGGUACAUAUUAGCAAAAGGAACUAUUAAGUAAGUUGUAAAUAUAAAUCUGAUAUUUAGGAACAGCCAAAAGAAGGAAAUAUUUAACAUCAGAAUGACAUAAAAAAACAUAGCUGUUACCUGAGCAUACAAAAUAAUAGCCACAUAGUUGCUCCUGUAGGUGUUGCACUAUGUAGCAAAAAUAAGGCAUGAGGGACUCAAGUCUAAGAUCCACGCUUAUGAUAUAAAAAUACCACAUAAAUGCUAAAGUUUGAUGCAUUUGCAACUAUCUGACUGACCAAUAUGCAUAUUUGCAAGACUGAUCGACCUUCUUUCUUUCUUUCUUUCUUCUAAAAUCCCCAAUUAGCAUCCCAAGAUGUCGACUGAAAGGAAAAGCAGUUGGCUAAUUACACUCUUUUUGUAAGAGAUAAUGCACAAAUAGCCAUUGGGAUACAUAACAAUCACCAAGCAGAAUAAUGUUUUAAGCAAAUAAGAUGCCAUCAAUUACAAAGUAAAAUAAUCAAGUACAAAGUCAUAAUUUAGCAGAUAUGUGUCACUUAAAGAUUAGAAUUCUUAAACAUAUCAGGGAAUGAUUAUAUUCUCUAUUUCUUAUUCCCAAUUUAGAUAAAAGCUUCUCCCUAGUAACGACUUAAUUUUCUUAAUGUUUUCCUUCCAAAAUUUACCUAAACCUACAUAAAGUGGAUAGAAGGCCCCACCACAGUAAAUGAUAUAAAAUGGUGUCUUUUGUGGUAAAUUCUUAUGGCUAGGAUAUAGGUAAUGAUCCCAGUAAGCAGGAGGUUUGCCAUAAUUGAGGAUUUUUUUAAAAUCGUGGGCAUAAUUGAGAAAAUUAUUGUUUGCAAAUGCAAAGCUAUAACAUUAUUUUGAGUAAUAAGCAUGAACCAUGUUCUAACUUCAUAAAGACAUACAAAGAACCAAACUCAACGGAGUUGCUGUCAUCCUUGGCGAAGGAGCAGUUUGAAGGUUAUCUUCUCUUCUUCAGUAAAUAAAUUGCUAUUAUUUUUCUCUUCUGCGAUCCUCUUAAUAAUAGGAUAACAAAUAUAUACCCAGUAUAUCUUCAUUACUAAAAAAAGAGUGCAAAAAAAUAAGAACGAAGAAACGAAACUCACCUGAAGUGAGAACUACAAUUGAGGGUUACAGACAAAUUGCCCUAAAGAGGAGAAAUUUGAAAUUACACCUAAAAUCACACCAAACAAACAUCGAAAUCCCCAAAUUACCAUACUCGUCUUUCUCCAAGUCCCAUUUUUUCUCAAACAAAUAUCAAAAUUCGUAAACUACCAAAGAAGGCCAAAAAAACAAAAAAACUCAAAAUUGGAAGUAAUUUAGGAUUNNNNNNNANNNNNNNNGGACUCAAUCGUUGAACUUCCACACUCAAUUGUUUGGUACAUCUAUGAAAUCAGAAUUCUUAGAAUCCAAUUUCAAAAAUAAGGUUAAAAUCCCAAAAGUAUUAAUGAUAAUUUAAAGUGAAAAAAGUUACCUACGUGCAACACUUCAUGGAUAAUAACAAAAGGAGCAGCCAAGGAGGAAGAGAAGAAAAGAGAGUCGCGAAGAAGCAAGAAGAGCAAAAACGAAGCAAAAAAGCGAAUAUGCAGGGUGCCACAAAACACCUAACCGCAC